UUUCCGUAGGUGAACCUGCGGAAGGAUCAUUAAAGAGAUAGGGUCUUCAUGGCCCGACCUCCAACCCUCUGUUGUUAAAACUACCUUGUUGCUUUGGCGGGACCGUCUCGGUCUCCGAGCGCACUAACCCUCGGGUUGGUGAGCGCCCGCCAGAGUCCAACCAAACUCUUGUAUUAAACCAGUCGUCUGAGUAUAAAAUUUUAAUUAAAUUAAAACUUUCAACAACGGAUCUCUUGGUUCUCGCAUCGAUGAAGAACGCAGCGAAAUGCGAUAAGUAAUGUGAAUUGCAGAAUUCAGUGAAUCAUCGAAUCUUUGAACGCACAUUGCGCCCCUUGGUAUUCCGAGGGGCAUGCCUGUUCGAGCGUCAUUACACCACUCAAGCAUCGCUUGGUAUUGGGAACGGUCCGUCGAAAGGCGGGCCUUCCUCGAAGACCUCGGCGGGGUUCAACCAACUUCGGGCGUAGUAGAGUUAAAUCGAACGUCUUAUAAGCUUGGUCGGAUCUCAUUGCCGUUAAACCUUUAAAUUUUCUAGGUUGACCUCGGAUCAGGUAGGGAUACCCGCUGAACUUAAGCAUAUCAAUAAGC
rnacentral:rRNA from 1 species